rnacentral:rRNA from 1 species
CCCUUAGAUGUUCUGGGCCGCACGCGCGCUACACUGACAGGGUCAGCGAGUGCUCCUGCGUCGAAAGGCGUGGGUAAUCUUUGAAACCUUGUCGUGCUGGGGAUAGAUCCUUGCAAUUAUUGAUCUUGAACGAGGAAUUCCUAGUAAGCGCAAGUCAUCAGCUUGCGUUGAUUACGUCCCUGCCCUUUGUACACACCGCCCGUCGCUCCUACCGAUUGAAUGGUCCGGUGAAGCGUUCGGACCGUGGCCUUUGGACGGUUCGCCGUCUGUUGGCUGCGGGAAGUUCGUUAAACCUUAUCAUUUAGAGGAAGGUGAAGUCGUAACA